rnacentral:lncRNA from 1 species
CCCUCAAUAGGAAAAGUUCUAAAAAGACCAAUACUGAACUCCCCGAAACCCUAACGGAUAUAUAUUUUUCUUCUGUGGAUUCAUUUUACCCCGAUCCGUUGGUAUUUUAGUCUGCUUUCCCUUUAUCCUUAGAAACAAAGAGUAUGUUGUCCAGCUUGCACAUGGAGGGGUUGUCUCGUUCGGAGCAGUAGGGGUACACAGAAAAUAUAAAUUAUCUGUGUUCAUAUUGGUGUAAUCUUUUAAAAAACCAUAUCUAGGUGUGUUAUACCAAGUGAAAAUCCAACAAGGAUCAGGAGCAAUUAUGGGGGGAAGACCAGGAGGAUCAAUUAGAGAUCACGGUCAAGAUCCACCUCCAGUGCUUCAUCCUGUAACCAAGUUUUUUUAUAAGAACGAUGAUGAGGAUCUCUGGAUCCGUAUUUGGUUGUAGGAGAUGACAUGUAUGCUCUAUCCUCGUCCAGGUUUGGGAUGGUUACAAAGGUCUCCUUCGAUUCUAGUAUGUAUUCUAUAAGCAAACCCUUGACACUAGAGGGUUUGAAAUACUAGGAAGAGUAUUAUACGUCAUAUAGAGAAUAUGCAUAUUGCACAGAGUGUAUGGUUCAUUUUAGGAACUUGGAUUUUUGUCUUGUGUCUUGUCCCGAUCACCACUUUCCGAAUUGUUGAUGAAGGAGAAGGAAGCUGCAUCAUCAAGACCUUGCAUUCAACUUCUACAUCGGUUUCAGCUUCUCUCCGUAACUUCCUUCCUUGAAUUCAUGUUUCUCUUUAAUUUCUUCUUCUUCUUCCCCUUGUACUAAAUUCAAUCUACUUAGUUGUUGUUUAUAUGAUUUUAUAACUCAGAGAUUGUGAGGAUAACGAACCUAAAGGAGGAGGAGGAGAAGAAGAAGAAGGAGAAACAACGUGCCAGGUAGGUAACUUUACCAUCUUUCAUUGCCCCUAAUCAAGUUGCUUUAGAAUUAUUAAUUAUUAAAGAAAAUGAGUGGAAAAGAAGAGGAACAUUUGUCUUUGUUGAUUCCUUCACUAAAUAUAAGCGAAGCAUGCUGCAGUUUUGCUUGAUAUUUUUCCCUCGUCUAAAAACAAAGGUGAUGUAUGUGAAAUCUUUGUAUUUAUUAAUGCCAAGCCAUGAAUUAAAUUCUGCACGUCUUGUAGAGUAGUUUUUCUUAGUCUUUGUGGUUUCUGAUGAUGUAUAGCCUAUGGGUGUGUUUCACAGCACGGACUAGUGGAAAAGAGACGCAACGGGAAGCGCCGGACCACAAAAAAAAAAAAAAAAGGCCCCCCAAGUCUAUUAAAUCCUUGGGCAUCUGUUUGAAGAGACGCUUCAUUUUGGGCAAACCCCGAAGUUGAAUUGAAUUGAAUUGGAAUUUGGCAAUCACACUCUUCAUGCUCUCUCUCGUGAAGUUGGGUUUGUUAUGACAUUAUUAGAUGAAAG